AUUGAACGCUGGCGGCAGGCCUAACACAUGCAAGUCGAACGGUAGCACAGAGAGCUUGCUCUCGGGUGACGAGUGGCGGACGGGUGAGUAAUAUCUGGGAAACUGCCCGAUGGAGGGGGAUAACUACUGGAAACGGUAGCUAAUACCGCAUAACGUCGCAAGACCAAAGUGGGGGACCUUCGGGCCCCACACCAUCGGAUGUGCCCAGAUGGGAUUAGCUAGUAGGUGGGGUAAUGGCUCACCUAGGCGACGAUCCCUAGCUGGUCUGAGAGGAUGACCAGCCACACUGGAACUGAGACACGGUCCAGACUCCUACGGGAGGCAGCAGUGGGGAAUAUUGCACAAUGGGCGCAAGCCUGAUGCAGCUAUGCCGCGUGUAUGAAGAAGGCCUUCGGGUUGUAAAGUACUUUCAGCGGGGAGGAAGGCGGUGAAGUUAAUAACUUCACCGAUUGACGUUACCCGCAGAAGAAGCACCGGCUAACUCCGUGCCAGCAGCCGCCGUAA
rnacentral:rRNA from 1 species